UUAGAGUUUGAUCCUGGCUCAAGACGACCUUUGGCGGCGCGCCUAACACAUGCAAGUCAAACGAGCGAGAGAGAGCUUGCUUUCUCGAGCGAGUGGCGAACGGGUGAGUAACGCGUGAGGAACCUGCCUCAAAGAGGGGGACAACAGUUGGAAACGACUGCUAAUACCGCAUAAGCCCACGGGUCGGCAUCGACCAGAGGGAAAAGGAGCAAUCCGCUUUGAGAUGGCCUCGCGUCCGAUUAGCUAGUUGGUGAGGUAACGGCCCACCAAGGCGACGAUCGGUAGCCGGACUGAGAGGUUGAACGGCCACAUUGGGACUGAGACACGGCCCAGACUCCUACGGGAGGCAGCAGUGGGGAAUAUUGCACAAUGGGGGAAACCCUGAUGCAGCGACGCCGCGUGGAGGAAGAAGGUCUUCGGAUUGUAAACUCCUGUUGUUGAGGAAGAUAAUGACGGUACUCAACAAGGAAGUGACGGCUAACUACGUGCCAGCAGCCGCGGUAAAACGUAGGUCACAAGCGUUGUCCGGAAUUACUGGGUGUAAAGGGAGCGCAGGCGGGAAGACAAGUUGGAAGUGAAAUCCAUGGGCUCAACCCAUGAACUGCUUUCAAAACUGUUUUUCUUGAGUAGUGCAGAGGUAGGCGGAAUUCCCGGUGUAGCGGUGGAAUGCGUAGAUAUCGGGAGGAACACCAGUGGCGAAGGCGGCCUACUGGGCACCAACUGACGCUGAGGCUCGAAAGUGUGGGUAGCAAACAGGAUUAGAUACCCUGGUAGUCCACACCGUAAACCGAUGAUUACUAGGUGUUGGAGGAUUGACCCCUUCAGUGCCGCAGUUAACCCCAAUAAGUAAUCCACCUGGGGAGUACGACCGCAAGGUUGAAACUCAAAGGAAUUGACGGGGGCCCGCACAAGCAGUGGAGUAUGUGGUUUAAUUCGACGCAACGCGAAGAACCUUACCAAGUCUUGACAUCCCUUGACGAUGCUGGAAACAGUAUUUCUCUUCGGAGCAAGGAGACAGGUGGUGCAUGGUUGUCGUCAGCUCGUGUCGUGAGAUGUUGGGUUAAGUCCCGCAACGAGCGCAACCCUUAUGGUCAGUUACUACGCAAGAGGACUCUGGCCAGACUGCCGUUGACAAAACGGAGGAAGGUGGGGAUGACGUCAAAUCAUCAUGCCCUUUAUGACUUGGGCUACACACGUACUACAAUGGCGUUAAACAAAGAGAAGCAAGACCGCGAGGUGGAGCAAAACUCAGAAACAACGUCCCAGUUCGGACUGCAGGCUGCAACUCGCCUGCACGAAGUCGGAAUUGCUAGUAAUCGUGGAUCAGCAUGCCACGGUGAAUACGUUCCCGGGCCUUGCACA
rnacentral:rRNA from 1 species